GGGCCUGUAGCUUGGAGGAUUAGAGCACGUGGCUACGAACUUUAGUAUCGGGGGUUCGAAUCCCUCCUCGCCCA
rfam:Nicotiana attenuata strain TT chromosome 6, whole genome shotgun sequence.